AGAGUUUGAUCAUGGCUCAGAACGAACGCUGGCGCGCGCCUAAUACAUGCAAGUCGAACGAGAAUGUGUAGCAAUACACAUGUAAAGUGGCGAACGGGUGAGGAAUACAUAGGUAACCUACCCUCGAGUGGGGAAUAACUAGCCGAAAGGUUAGCUAAUACCGCGUACGCUCCCCGGACUACGGUUCGGGGAGGAAAGCG
rnacentral:rRNA from 1 species